rnacentral:rRNA from 1 species
AUGGUGGUGGAUGCCCUGGCUGCCAUCCUAGAUAAGGCCAAGGCUGCGGGACAUAUUAGAGCUUUGGUCCCGCACCUUGUUGGAGGGGGAGGGGUCUCCCUUCUCCAAUACGCUGACGACACCAUUGUUAUGGUCGAGGGAUCCGCCCUUGAGAUUUCCAACCUGAAGUUCCUCCUUCUGUGCUUCCAGCAAAUGUCGGGCCUUACCAUCAACUUCGACAAGAGCGAAGUGAUGGUGCUCGGUUACCCCGCUGAGGAAGCUCAGUCCAUUGCCGAUCGGCUUAACUGUCGGCUGGGUUCUUUCCCCACGACUUAUCUAGGGAUCCCCAUUAGUGACUCGCGCCUCACCGUGGCGGACCUCCGCCCCACGGUGACCCGUAUGCAGCAUCGCGUGGAGCCCUGGAAAGGGCGUUGGCUGUCGAAGGCGGCCUGCGUGAUUCUUAUCAACUCCUCGCUAGCCAGCCUCCUGUGGUUCCUCAUGAGCUUCUACAGCCUUCAUGAGACGCUCCAUCAGGAGAUCGCCAAAUACCAGUCCAGAUUCUUCUGGGCAGGGGAGGAGGGCAAG